rnacentral:rRNA from 1 species
AGCACCGGCUAACUACGUGCCAGCAGCCGCGGUAAUACGUAGGGUGCAAGCGUUAUCCGGAAUUAUUGGGCGUAAAGGGCUCGUAGGCGGUUCGUCGCGUCCGGUGUGAAAGUCCAUCGCUUAACGGUGGAUCUGCGCCGGGUACGGGCGGGCUGGAGUGCGGUAGGGGAGACUGGAAUUCCCGGUGUAACGGUGGAAUGUGUAGAUAUCGGGAAGAACACCAAUGGCGAAGGCAGGUCUCUGGGCCGUUACUGACGCUGAGGAGCGAAAGCGUGGGGAGCGAACAGGAUUAGAUACCCUGGUAGUCCACGCCGUAAACGGUGGAUGCUGGAUGUGGGGCCCGUUCCACGGGUUCCGUGUCGGAGCUAACGCGUUAAGCAUCCCGCCUGGGGAGUACGGCCGCAAGGCUAAAACUCAAAGAAAUUGACGGGGGCCCGCACAAGCGGCGGAGCAUGCGGAUUAAUUCGAUGCAACGCGAAGAACCUUACCUGGGCUUGACAUGUUCCCGACAGCCGUAGAGAUAUGGCCUCCCUUCGGGGCGGGUUCACAGGUGGUGCAUGGUCGUCGUCAGCUCGUGUCGUGAGAUGUUGGGUUAAGUCCCGCAACGAGCGCAACCCUUGUCACUAGUUGCUACGCAAGAGCACUCUAGUGAGACUGCCGGUGACAAACCGGAGGAAGGUGGGGAUGACGUCAAGUCCUCAUGGCCCUUAUGGCUAGGGCCUCACACGUCAUACAAUGGUCGGAACAGAGGGCAGCGAAGCCGCGAGGUGGAGCAAAUCCCAGAAAACCGAUCGUAGUCCGGAUUGCAGUCUGCAACUCGACUGCAUGAAGUCGGAAUCGCUAGUAAUCGCGGAUCAGCAUGCCGCGGUGAAUACGUUCCCGGGUCUUGUACACACCGCCCGUCACACCAUGGGAGUGGGGUUCACCAGAAGACGUUUGUUUAACCGCAAGGAGGACGGCGUCCACGGUGGGCUUCAUGACUGGGGUGAAGUCGUAACAAGGUAGCCGUACCGGAAGGUGCGGCUG